rnacentral:lncRNA from 1 species
AGGCAGUUGUUCCAUCUUGUUCAAAAAAAGAUGGAUGGUUAUUUUGGCCAACGUGUGUUAAUGCAAUAAAAGCUACCUAUAAUAAUUUUCUAAUCGUUGAUUCCUGCAACAAGGUUUGACUUAAGAGAGUUAAAGUAACUGGAGGUCAUUAAAUUUUACAAUAAAGAAGUAUGUGCAGGAUUUAUUUUCACAACUAAAGAGUUUUCCAAAGAAGAUUAAAGUUUUGGUGGAUCAAAGUUUGAGGAAUGAUUUGGUUUUAACUGGUUUGCAUCUUAUGAAUGAAAUUCUGUAUCUCAAUGAUAUCCUGGCUUAUUUAUACGAUAUCCUGUAAAUCUUAAAA